GAUGAACGCUGGCGGCGUGCCUAAUACAUGCAAGUCGAGCGAACAGACGAGGAGCUUGCUCCUCUGACGUUAGCGGCGGACGGGUGAGUAACACGUGGAUAACCUACCUAUAAGACUGGGAUAACUUCGGGAAACCGGAGCUAAUACCGGAUAAUAUAUUGAACCGCAUGGUUCAAUAGUGAAAGACGGUUUUGCUGUCACUUAUAGAUGGAUCCGCGCCGCAUUAGCUAGUUGGUAAGGUAACGGCUUACCAAGGCAACGAUGCGUAGCCGACCUGAGAGGGUGAUCGGCCACCCUGGGACUGAGACAAGGUCCAGAAUCCUAAGGGGAGCAGGAGUAGGGAAUCUUUCGGCAUGGGCGAAAGCCUGACGGAGCAACGGCGCGGGAGUGAUGAAGGUCCUUGGAUCGUAAAACCCUGUUAUUAGGGAAGAACAAAUGUGUAAGUAACUAUGCACGUCUUGACGGUACCUAAUCAGAAAGCCACGGCUAACUACGUG
rnacentral:rRNA from 1 species